rnacentral:lncRNA from 1 species
UUUUUUUGUUCUUUUUUUUAUGAGUAAGUUUUAAUCUUACAGAGAAUAGUCACAUAUUUCACCCCAAAGAAAUUACAUAAGUAUCAACUGUAUUGUCAAAUUACAAUUUACUGACAAUGACCUAUGCUCUUAUAUUGAAUAGAACUGCUUACAUUUAAUUUUAUAAACAAAAAUUCAGUAAGUCUUAGAUCAUUUGAAAUGACUGCAGCUACUUUUUCAAGGAAGAAAUAAAUUCUUGUAAGUCUCCAGUUUCCCAGACAUUGAUUACUUUGUAAUUUACAGUAUGUGAGUCAUUUAUGUUUGACCUCGUGAAUGACAUAAAACACAACUAUUCCAAUGUAAACAGAAUGAGAUACCUUAAUACUAUUAAUAAAACAAUGACAACAUUUAAUGUACACGAUAGGGAAAGUGAAUCUUUGAGGGAGAGUUUAUAAAUGUGUGUGAAUAGUAACUACCUAUUAGACUAUUAGACCAUUAAAAUGUUCUAGUCUUUAACAAAAUGGAAAAAGUAAAUGAGAUAGUGAAAGAUGUAGUAGACAACCAAGUUCACUAUCAUAUUAAAAUUCUUAAUAACAAGAAGCAAUGUAUGAAUGAUUCUUUCUAUGCUAGUAUUAAGUGUAUUAAAGAUAAGUAAUGUUAAAUCAUUUCAAAAUGAAAAAACAAAAUGGAAGCACUAGAUAUACUAGAACUAAGAUAAUCUUAUAUUUUCUUCUCAUCUUUCUAUUACUGUCUUUUCUCUAAUUAUAACUAUACUGCUAUGAGUUAAUUCACUUUUAUUUUUGAUCUUAUAUGUAGAAAAAGGACAUUUCAACUUAGAUGUUUAGAUUCUCAUUGCUGUUGGAAGUUAGCUUAUAAAAGGUUUUCUGAACUUCUUAAGUUUGGAUUUCAAGAUGGUGUCUCUAACUUAAUCUAGACUAUUCACUUCUAUAUCAUACUUUUUAUUGUGAUCUUAUAGCUUUUAUGGAUGUCAAUUUAAUUUCCAUUCUAUUUCCAUUUCUGUUUUUUGUCCAUGAGCUAAAAAAAGUGCAUUUAGUAUACAUGCCAUAGUUCAAAAGGGACUAAUCAUAUUUUGAUAAUAACGUUAAAGACUGCCAUUCUAUAGGUCCUCUUCUUUUGUUAAGAAAUGAAAACCUUUAUCAUUUAUAUCAAUACCAAUUAAAAACACAGCAAUUGUUCCUCUGCAUUUUAACCCAUUAGGGAAUGUUCUCAUAUGUCUUUGCUCUGAACUUUUCUAAAUCUUUUUUAUUUUUUUUAACACUUUUGUUAACCAGAGCCCCAAAUGAGUCUUUGCUGUCUGCUUCCAUAUGUAUAACAUUCAAUAGUCACACGCAAAAUGGUACUUUGUGUUGUUUAGUAUUUAAAAAUUUACACACAUCUAAUCUUCACAACUACCCAAAGUAUGAAAUUUGAUUUAAUAGAUAAAAUGAAAUUUACUUAUUUAUUUUUCUUUUUAUACCUGUGGAAUAGGGAAUUUCCCUGGCUAGGAGUAGAAUCAGAGAUGCAGCUGCCUGCCUACAUCACAGCCACAACAAUGCCAGAUUGGAGCCGCAUCUGAGACCUAUGUCUCAGCUUGUGGCAACAUUCAAUCCUUAACCCACUGAACAAGACCAGGGAUCGAACCCACAUCCUCAUGGACAUUCUGUUGGGUUCUUAGCCCUCCGAGCCAAGAUGGGAACUCUGAAAUUUAGAAAUACAAUGAGUUUCUAAAAGCUAUGAAGUGUCUAAAGGAAUUCUCAAUUCCUAUUCUAUACUUACCGUCCACCUAUAGAACAAUAUCUCCUUUCUCAUCAUAUUUCACUACUCACUAAGCUAUGACAAAUCUGAUAAUCCACAGAAUAGUAUUCAGUUUUAGUCUACCAUAAUUAUUUACAGGCAUUAGUGAAAUAAAAACAAAAUUAUUUUUUAAACUGAGUCAUUUGUUCACGAUGUUUUCUUGAAUGUCUGAGCAGUUUAUAAUGAAUCUUUUUCUUUAAAAAAUACAAUAAGCUGUAAAUCAGUCAGAAGGCAUGUGUCUUUUAGCUUUGUCAACUAGCCACAUGACUUAUUUAACCUCACUGAGCCUCAAUUGCCUCUUCUGAAUAAUGAGGAAUUUGAAGAGGAGAAUUUAAAAAUUUUCCUUUCAACUUAAAGGCCAUGUCUAUUUUGAAAAUGAUAGUGAAAGGGGGAGGUUUCAAUAAACUGGCAUGAAGAAUAAUUAGAGACAAGAAAACACAUGCAUCUAAAACAUAUUGGAGGCUACUUCAGUGGUUGGUAAUGAAAUGACAAGGGUAUGAAUUUAUAAGGGACAGUGAUAAAUUGCUGGUACAGGUGAAGGAAUGAAUCACAGUGACAUUGGACAGAGACAUGACAAGCUACUGGUGACUGAUUCAGCAUGGGGCAUAAAUUAGUAUUAGAGUCAAAGGUGUGUUCAAGGUUUAGUGGAAAAGUUGGUCUGGAUUGAAAAGGUGGGAUUAAGGUGUACAUCACCUAAUGAAUAGGUGAUGAACUUGUUUGAGUUUUAGGCAAAAAUGAUUAUAUGAAUUCUAGACCAUGGGAUUGAGUUUAAGGCUGGAGAUCUGAAAAUCACCAGCAUAGAAGUAACAGAUACAACUAAAAAGUGAAGACUUUCUGAGAGACAUGGCAGAGUGAGAGAAAAAUAGAAUUAGACUCUGAGCUUCUUCAAAUCCUGGUAUAUGUUAUGGCAUACCAAAGUCACUGGGAAGAAUAUAAUUGUGGUGUUGGAGGAAUGGCCUCAUAGGGUGAUGGACACAACUGUGGGCACAAGCAAACCCCCCACCCCAACAGCCUAAUGGUAUGAAAGACUGUAUACCCACUGUUUCUUUUCUUUCCUCACUUGGUGUGUUCCUCAUACUUUCUAAUCAUCUUGGACCUCUGAACUUCAGAUACGUCCUGAUGAAGAAAUAAUAGGGAAGCACUGCAGGCUAUUUCUAUUCACUCGCUUACAUCAGAAUCUUGUCUCUAAGUUUUGCACUGCUAACUAUUAUGUUGAUUGUAAAUCCAAGUGAAAACAAGUUAAAGUCUAAGAUUUCAUUUGCAUAUGUUAGAUUCUAACCAACUGAGGUGGUCUAUCUUAACUCACUUCACAUUUACCUUUUUACAACCUCAAUUGCUCGGUAUUUUGCAUAGUUAAAUGAAUGUUCAAGGAGAAAUGAAUGAACAAACAAAUAAUCAGAAAACCAAUAUUUGAGAAACAUUCAUAGUUGUGGAAGCGAAAAGAGAAGGAAAUGAAUAAAAAAUUGUACUGUCUUCACAGACUUUGAUAAUAGCUAGCAACUUCUCAAUUUUACCCUGUGUAUGAAUCACUGGGAGAUCUUGGUGUAGCCAGAGAUUCAGCAUUUCUGAUGAGGUCUCAGACCUUACUGUUCCACCAGGGAGCAUGCCUUAUAUAAGGUUUCAUAUGACUGUUCUACACAUGUAUGCCCCUGCUAAUAACAGAUGCAUGAGAGAAUGCCCAUAGCUCAGCACUAUUUAAAUAUUCACUGAAUUAAAAGCGACAAACAACACUGCAUAUUCAACUGAUGAAAGUAGUAAAGAAAGCACCUUAAUUGAUAUUAUAGAAGAAU